rnacentral:rRNA from 1 species
UAGAGUUUUGAUCCUGGCUCAGGACGAACGCUGGCGGCGUGCUUAACACAUGCAAGUCGAACGAUGAAGCCUUUCGGGGUGGAUUAGUGGCGAACGGGUGAGUAACACGUGGGCAAUCUGCCCUUCACUCUGGGACAAGCCCUGGAAACGGGGUCUAAUACCGGAUAAUACUUUCUCUCUCAUGGGGGAAGGUUAAAAGCUCCGGCGGUGAAGGAUGAGCCCGCGGCCUAUCAGCUAGUUGGUGGGGUAAUGGCCUACCAAGGCGACGACGGGUAGCCGGCCUGAGAGGGCGACCGGCCACACUGGGACUGAGACACGGCCCAGACUCCUACGGGAGGCAGCAGUGGGGAAUAUUGCACAAUGGGCGAAAGCCUGAUGCAGCGACGCCGCGUGAGGGAUGACGGCCUUCGGGUUGUAAACCUCUUUCAGCAGGGAAGAAGCGAAAGUGACGGUACCUGCAGAAGAAGCGCCGGCUAACUACGUGCCAGCAGCCGCGGUAAUACGUAGGGCGCAAGCGUUGUCCGGAAUUAUUGGGCGUAAAGAGCUCGUAGGCGGCUUGUUGCGUCGGUUGUGAAAGCCCGGGGCUUAACCCCGGGUCUGCAGUCGAUACGGGCAGGCUAGAGUGUGGUAGGGGAGAUCGGAAUUCCUGGUGUAGCGGUGAAAUGCGCAGAUAUCAGGAGGAACACCGU